CUUCAUCUCCUCUAUCGCUUUCAGAUGAUUCUUCAUCUUGUUUCUUGCUCUCUUGCUUCUGAGAUAUCAUCUUCAUCUCUUCGCGGACUUUCUCUUCAGCGGAUUUCGCCUCCUCCACUUCUCUUAUAACAAGCUCUAGUCUCUUUUCAGCUUCCUCAGCAGCUAUCAUCGCGGCCUCUGUUUCUUUCUUCAGACUCUCUAUCUUCCUAUUCAUAUUUGCAGCUUCGUUUCUUGCUUCAAUAGCUUCUGUUUUCAUUUGCUCCAGUUUCAAGCUCUCUUGCUUGAGAGCUUCCAACUUUUUUGUUUCCUCAAUCUCUAAUCUCUCUGCUUCUUUCUGCUGCAGCUCUUCGCGUUCUCUUCUCAA
rnacentral:lncRNA from 1 species